rnacentral:rRNA from 1 species
AAUGAACGCUGGCGGCGCGCCUAAUACAUGCAAGUCGAGCGAGAAGACGUAGCAAUACGUUUGUAAAGCGGCGAACGGGUGAGGAAUACAUGGGUAACCUACCCUCGAGUGGGGAAUAACUAGCCGAAAGGUUAGCUAAUACCGCGUACGCUCCUUGGACUUCGGUUCAGGGAGGAAAGCGAUACCGUGGGUAUCGCGCUCUUGGUUGGGCUCAUGUCCUAUCAGCUUGUUGGGAGGUAACGGCUCACCAAGGCUUCGACGGGUAGCUGGUCUGAGAGGACGAUCAGCCACACUGGCACUGCGACACGGGCCAGACUCCUACGGGAGGCAGCAGUAAGGAAUAUUGCGCAAUGGGCGAAAGCCUGACGCAGCGACGCCGCGUGGGGGAUGAAGGUCUUCGGAUUGUAAACCCCUUUCGGGAGGGAAGAUGGACGAGCAAUCGUUCGGACGGUACCUCCAGAAGCAGCCACGGCUAACUUCGUGCCAGCCGCCGCCGU